AGAACGAACGCUGGCGGCAUGCCUAACACAUGCAAGUCGAACGCUCACCGGGCUUCGGUUCGGUGGGAGUGGCGCACGGGUGAGUAGCGCGUGGGAACCUGCCCUGUUGUGGGGGAUAACCGAGGGAAACUUCGGCUAAUACCGCAUGCGCCCGGGGAAACCCGGGGAAAGAUUUAUCGCAGCAGGAGGGGCCCGCGUCGGAUUAGGUAGUUGGUAGGGUAACGGCCUACCAAGCCUUUGAUCCGUAGCUGGUCUGAGAGGAUGAUCAGCCACACUGGGACUGAGACACGGCCCAGACUCCUACGGGAGGCAGCAGUGGGGAAUAUUGGACAAUGGGCGCAAGCCUGAUCCAGCAAUGCCGCGUGAGUGAUGAAGGCCUUAGGGUUGUAAAGCUCUUUCGCCCGCGACGAUGAUGACGGUAGCGGGAGAAGAACGCCCCGGCUAACUUCGUGCCAGCAGCCGC
rnacentral:rRNA from 1 species